rnacentral:rRNA from 1 species
GCCAGACUCCUACGGGAGGCAGCAGUGAGGAAUAUUGGUCAAUGGCCGGAAGGCUGAACCAGCCAAGCCGCGUGAAGGACGAAGGUGCCAAGCAUUGUAAACUUCUUUUGUCAAGGGACAAAAUCAGGCUCGAGAGCCUGACCGAGGGUACUUGAAGAAAAAGCAUCGGCUAACUCCGUGCCAGCAGCCGCGGUAAUAUGGAGGAUGCGAGCGUUAUCCGGAUUUAUUGGGUUUAAAGGGUGCGUAGGCGGACUGUUAAGUCGGCGGAAAAAGCCGGGGGCUCACCCCCGGCGAGCCGUUGAAACUGGCAAACUGGAGUGUGUGAGAGGAUAGUGGAAUUCCAGGUGUAGGAGUGAAAUCCGUAGAUAUCUGGAGGAACAUCAGUGGCGAAGGCGACUAUCUGGCACAUAACUGACGCUGAGGAGCGAAAGCGUGGGUAGCAAACAGGAUUAGAUACCCGAGUA